UUUGUUUUUUUUAUUAAGGGGGGGGAAAAGGAAAAUAACCAAGGAUUCCCCCUUGUAACGCAAAAAAAACCAAAAAAACCUCAAAAUUUAAUAAUUUGGGCCCCUUCGGUUGUCCCGAGGUUGUUAUUCUUUCAGAAGAGGUUUUCCCCGUGGGGCCGCCACCCAAGUUUUUUGGAAUACAGCGGCAUAGGGGUGAGACCCCCGUCUUGGGGGCGGACGCCCAGGCCUUUGUGAUACAUUUUCGAAGAUUCCAUUUGUUUGGGAAUGCAGCUCAAAUUGGGUGUUAAAUUCCAUCUAAAGCUAAAUAUUGGCGGGAGACCGAUAGCGAACAAGUCCCGGGAGGGAAAGAUGAAAAGCCCUUUGGAAAGAGAGUUACCAGUACGUGAAAUUGUUGGAAGGGAAACGCUGGAAGUCAGACUUGCUUCCCGGGCAAUCGGUUUCCAGGCCAGCAUCAGUUUUCCGGGAUGGAUAAUGGUAGAGAGAAGGUAGCAGUUUCGGCUGUGUUAUAGCUUUUUGCUGGAUACAUCUUGGGGGACUGAGGAACCCAGUGUCCCUUUGGCGGGGGUUUCGACCUCUUCACACUUAGGAUGCUGGUGGAAUGGCUUUAAACGACCCGUCUUGAAAAACCGGACCA
rnacentral:rRNA from 1 species